UGGGGAAUAUUGCGCAAUGGGGGAAACCCUGACGCAGCGACGUCAUGUGAAGGAUGAAGGCUUUAGGGUUGUAAACUUCUGUCUAGAGGGAAGAAUCAGUUGACGGUACCUCUAAAGAAAGCACCGGCUAACUCCGUGCCAGCAGCCGCGGUAAUACGGAGGGUGCAAGCGUUAUUCGGAAUUACUAGGUGUAAAGGGCGUGUAGGCGGUUUAGUAAGUUAGAUGUGAAAUCCCAUAGCUCAACUGUGGGUCUGCAUCUAAAACUAUUAGACUUGAGUAUGGAAGGGGAAAACGGAAUUUCUAGUGUAGCGGUGGAAUGUGUAGAUACUAGAAGGAACACCGAUGGCGAAAGCGGUUUUCUGGUUCAAUACUGACGCUAAGGCGCGAAAGCUAGGGGAGCAAACAGG
rnacentral:rRNA from 1 species